GGAAUAUUGGUCAAUGGGCGAGAGCCUGAACCAGCCAAGUAGCGUGCAGGAUGACGGCCCUACGGGUUGUAAACUGCUUUUUCCGGGGAAUAACCGGCGUCACGUGUGGCGCCCUGCAUGUACCCGGUGAAUAAGGACCGGCUAAUUCCGUGCCAGCAGCCGCGGUAAUACGGAAGGUCCGGGCGUUAUCCGGAUUUAUUGGGUUUAAAGGGAGCGCAGGCUGAUUGUUAAGCGUGACGUGAAAUGUAGCCGCUCAACGGCUGCACUGCGUCGCGAACUGGCAGUCUUGAGUGAGUACGACGUCAGCGGAAUUCGUGGUGUAGCGGUGAAAUGCUUAGAUAUCACGAAGAACCCCGAUUGCGAAGGCAGCUGACGAGUCCUUUACUGACGCUAAAGCUCGAAGGUGCGGGUAUCGAACA
rnacentral:rRNA from 1 species